rnacentral:rRNA from 1 species
AAUCUGGCUCUUUUAGAGUCCGAGUUGUAAUUUGCAGAGGGCGCUUUGGCUUUGGCAGCGGUCCAAGUUCCUUGGAACAGGACGUCACAGAGGGUGAGAAUCCCGUACGUGGUCGCUGGCUAUUGCCGUGUAAAGCCCCUUCGACGAGUCGAGUUGUUUGGGAAUGCAGCUCUAAAUGGGAGGUACAUUUCUUCUAAAGCUAAAUAUUGGCCAGAGACCGAUAGCGCACAAGUAGAGUGAUCGAAAGAUGAAAAGCACUUUGGAAAGAGAGUCAAACAGCACGUGAAAUUGUUGAAAGGGAAGCGCUUGCAGCCAGACUUGCUUACAGUUGCUCAUCCGGGUUUCUACCCGGUGCACUCUUCUGUAGGCAGGCCAGCAUCAGUUUGGGCGGUAGGAUAAAGGUCUCUGUCACGUACCUCCUUUCGGGGAGGCCUUAUAGGGGAGACGACAUACU